rnacentral:misc_RNA from 1 species
UGGUCGUAAAUUUAUGCACCAUGUUGGUUUUCUCAUGGGGCGGCUCAUUUAUGGUUUUUUUUCAUGAGAUAAGCGUUGCUUCAAUUACACCCUUCCAUUUGAUUCAAUGGUUAUGUCACUUCUCACAUUUUUUGCGUUCUUGUAAAAAUAUACUAAAUAUGCAACUUGUAUCAAUGCGUCCUGGUUUAUUUAAUCCAAAAAUUACCAACAUUCUGAAAGGACCUUUGUAACAUCAAGACAAUAUGCAAGGGGACUAUCGAGAUGACCUAAGUCAGAGAGAUGUUUGUAGAGUGCAAAUUGAGGACGAACGAUCAGUUAUACAGAAUGACGACAUUGGGUACCGGUAUAGACCAAACCUUGCGAUGGCCGAAAUCGGCAGAGAACAACCGCAACGAGUACCUAUUUAUGAUUCUGUUACAAUGGAACCAAUGUUUGAGUAUGGAAAUACAUGUAACCAACCACCAAGGGCGCCAGUCAAUGUCGCACGAACCCAUUUGAACGAAACCAUUCAACCUCUUAUGAGCGUAGAUGUAAAUCGCACCGUCAGAAGUUCGAGGGUACCUAAACCCUAUGAAAAUAAUGAACCACGUCGGCAAAGUCAACAUUAUCCCAUAGAAAACAUUCGAGCACAAUCAGGUAAUGAGUGGACUUCAGCUGAGCGAGCGGAAAAUACAGAUCACCAAAUUGCAAAGCAACGGAGAGAUGCAUAUAGAUCUACCUGUUCUGCCGAGACUGGCUACUUAGAGCAUCACUCACACACGCUACCAUAUUCUGACGCUAGUCAGCAAAGUCAAUAUAAAACAGAGAAACCAUCUGCUGAUGAUGUUUUCAAUUUCAUGGUGAAGAACAUGGGCGGAAGUGGCACACCAGAAGACAUAAAGACCCAGUCUGGAUUAUUUCCGACAUACGUUGAUAUAAACGACUGGUUUCGGACGCAUAGAAGUAGAUUUAAAAUAAUUGAGAGGGAUAAAACCAUCUCGUAUGUAUUAGUGCACAACAGUCAUGUUACUUUCUGUACAUAUUACAACAAAACGCAGUCAUGUAGUAGAAGCGACUGUCGUAGGUAUCAUAUAUGCAAAAACAUGUUAUCGGGAAAAUGUGUAUACGAAAAUUGCCAAUACUCGCACGAUUUUUGUGAUGAAAAUAACAUAAGACUCUCAAAUGAUUUGGGCUACAGUAGUUCCUUUACAAAUGAGGAGAUAUGUUCUAUUCUUAAAGUAAGUAAUCCGCAUCUCUGUACCGAAUGGGCAGAAAGAGGGAAAUGCGGUGAUGAAAGUAAUUGUUUCGGGCUUCAUUUAUGUCCUCGGUACCUGUUUGGUAAAUGCAGCAAUGACCAAAACUGUCUUUACGUCCAUGACAGGAAAUCGGACCACAAUAAACCCAUUGUCGAAGCGUUUAAAAUGUCUAAAAUGCAAUUUGAUAAGUUCAGGUGGCGGGUCUUCAUGAUUAACAAUCCAGAAUGGAAAAGAGAUGAACCGAGAACUGCAGAUGGCGCUACGUCAUUACCUCUGGGGACCAAGCCAACAUUCAACAUCAAAUAUCCAGUUAAAGAUGAAGCAGUACAUAUGUACAAUAAGAAACCUGUGUUUCAACCACGGAAUACGGUUAACCAAGGUCCAAGGACACCUGUGAAACCUACACGCCCUUAUACCGAAGAGGUCAUGCAGUGUCCUCCACAUAUGAGCUUUGAUAUCCAACCCAACGCUUGGGAAUCGCGGGUAUCUAGAAUCGACAAUGGCAAUCCUCAACCUCAAAGUAGAAGCAAACAUUCUUCCACACAAAGGACUCAAAGACGAUCAGGUAAUAGGUGUAAUUCAGUUGAGCGCGGGGUGAACGCAUCUGGUCAUGUAGGGAACCAUCAACAUAAUACCAAAAUACCAUCUGCUGAUGAAGUUUUCAACUUCAUGGUCAAGAACAUGGGCGGAAAAGGAACACCAUACGACAUAAAGACCCGGAGAAGACUAUUUCCGACGGACUUUGAUAUAAACGACUGGUUUCGAAAAAAUAAAAGUAGAUUCACACUUAUUGAAAGGAAUGGAACACUCUCGUAUGUGCUAGUGUUCAACAAGAAUGUCACUUAUUGCUUUAAUUACAAGUGUAGUAAAAGCGACUGUCGUAGAUAUCAUGUGUGCAAAAACAUGUUGUCGGGGAAAUGUGAAUACGGCCGUCAUUGUAAAUACUCGCAUGAUUGUUUCGACGAAAACAAUUCAAAAAUCUCCGAUAAGUUAGGAUACAGUGAUUUGUUCACAAAUGAGGAAAUAUUUUCCAUUCUUAAAGUUAGUUAUCCGCAUGUAUGUACUACAUGGGCAUUGAAAGGUUCAUGUAGGGAACGUUACUGUUUCGGUUUGCAUAUAUGUCCUAGAUACAUCCGUGAUAAAUGUACCAAUGGACCAAACUGUCCACAAGUCCAUGACAGAAUAUCAGAUCACAAUAAACCAGUCUUAGAUGCAUUUGAAAUGUCUGACAUGCGCAGUACGAUCAGUUCAGGUUGAGAUUAUUCAUGGUAUGGAAUGGAAAUGAACCGAAAACUGCAGAUGGCACUGUUCCUGUACAAUCGGACACCCAACAAGCAGUACGCAAGAAAAAUCUUUUGAAGGAGGAAACAGAUGAAGCCGGAGACACGUAUAUCUGUAUACGCUAUCUUCAAGAUGGAUGUCGCGAACGCCGCUGCAAAUUUCUCCAUACAAAGUCAAAACUACCGUAUCUAUGGCAAAUAAAACUAUCUGAAAAAUGGAUUUCAC